GGGGAUGUGGCUCAAGUGGUAGUGCGCUCGCCUGGCAUGCGUGCGGCCUGGGUUCGACCCCAGCACCA
rnacentral:tRNA from 1 species